rnacentral:lncRNA from 1 species
ACUUUCUGAGUGAUAUGGUUUGGCCGUGUCCUCACCCAAAUCUAAUCUUGAAAUCCCAUGUGUUGUGGGAGGGACCCAGUGGGAGGUAACUGAAUCAUGGAGACAAGUAUUUCCUGUGCUCUUCUCAUGACAGUGGGUAAGUUUCUAUUUAUAAAUGAGAGCUGAUGGUUUUAUAAAUGGGAGCUUCUCUGCACAAGCUCUCUCCUCUUGUUUGCUGCCAUGUGAGACAUGCCUUUCACCUUCGGCCGUGACUGUGAGGCCAUCCCAGCCACAUGGAACUAUGUGCCUUGCUUCCUUCCUCUUUGCCUUCUGCCAUGAUUGUAAGUUUCCUGAGGCCUUCCCAGCCAUGCAACAUGGUGGAUCCACUCUGGAGCAUGCUCUACAGAGUCUUUUAUGGACCCAAGUGGAAGAAAAGAAGAACAACCCAGUUAUUCACAAAGAUAACUUAGGAAGUAGUGUUCAAAUAUCACAGCUUCUUUGUGCAACAGCCUAUAUCAGUGCUUUGACUUUAGGCUCUACCAGGAACUACACCACUAGUUCUCAUGGUUUGGGGUUCUUCAGACUUGGAUUGGAAAUAUACCACCAGCUCUCCUUGGUCUCCAACUUGCCAAAUGAAGACCAUGGGACUUCUCAGCCUCAUCAUCAUGGAGAAAAAUAA